UAUAUACUCCCUCCGUCCGAAAAUACUUGUCGGACAAAUGGAUGUAUGUAGAUGUAUUUUAGUUGUAGAUACAUCUAUUUUUAUUCAUUUCUUCGACAAGUAUUUUGAGACGGAGGGAGUAUAUG
rfam:Triticum aestivum genome assembly, contig: Triticum_aestivum_CS42_TGACv1_scaffold_146183_2BS